GCUUGACCUUCUUAUCGCGUGCUUUCUUCACUCUCUGCUGAUAUGACUGUCCAUGACACAUGGCAGUUGAUCUCUUCUUUUCGAUCGAAUUCAGCAUCAGUCAACUUGGGACUUUGAGGGUGCUAUCUUCUUUUGUUUUCUUUUGAUUUCUUUCUUUUUCUUUCUUUUGAUUUCUUUUGAUUUCUUUUGAUUUCUUUUGAUUUUGCACCCUCCUCUUUCUUUUCUUUUUCUCUUUUUUUUUUGAUAAAUGCCCCAGUUGGCUGUUCUGCUGAUUCUCGCGAUGCAGCUGAGUGUGAUCUUCUUUUCUCGCUCAAGAAGUCGGGAAAUCUCGUCAGGAAUCCC
rnacentral:lncRNA from 1 species